rnacentral:lncRNA from 10 species
CACUGUUAGUCUGCUGAGUGUUUGGCCAGCGUGUUAACUCUUUGUGGCUUCUUGCAGUCUUUUACUGAAAAGUUAUUUACUUUCCUGUAUUCCUAUUACCAAGGGUCUAUUCAGGGAAUGAAGAAAAAGAACGGCGAUUCAGGAAGCAGAUGGGGUGAGUGAGCUCAAGGUGAAAGAAUGAGAACUAAGAGUUUGAGAAGCACUGAUACAAAAGACAAACUGAAAAGAAGAAAGGAAGAGGGGUAGAAGAAAGGAGGGAGAGAAGAAAGAUAAGAACUUCCUGAAGAUGCUGGUUAGAGGCAACAUCCACGUUAUUAUGGAAGUGGCACCCAACGCUAACCUCAGAUGCAAUAUACAGGGUUGCUUUGCCUCAGCCCCUGGAUUACAACGCCCCCUGGCUCAUACCUGAGUUCACCACAGCCUUUGGACCCCAGAACUGCCCUUGCUGGUUCUGGUCUCUGGCUAAAUCUUCUAUGAUUGCAGCUUUGGCUACUACCUAUAGCCUUAGGGAAAAACCCAGAACUUGUGUUUGAAUUCUACUACCACCAGAUGUUAGCUGAGUCAUCUCCAGCCUCAAUUUCCCAAUCUGUGGGAUUUGUUGCACUGUAUACCUUAAACGGGAGUUAUUGCUAUUAUUGCAGUUAACAUAAGCUUCUACCACUUACCUAACUCAGCGCGUGCAGUUAGAUUUUAGCAUCUAAAAUGCCAAUCUGCAAUCAUCUUUAUUAGUCAUAUUUUGCCUGUUUUUAUCCAUCAUUCCAAUUUGUUGUAAUCAUUCCAGUCCCUGAUAUAAUCCACAUUUUAAUCUCAGAUAUUGAAAAGUAAUGGCAGACAAGACAGAGAGUCAUGGACAGAAUUUGACGUACCACUAGAGAAAUCUGUUCUCAUUUAGGUCCUUUGAUUACAGUUAACAAAAACACAUUCUAAGAAAUCAAAAGAAAGCCAAGGAACCAUGCCUGGGAACAACAUAACCAGAUAGAACCAAAAUCAGGUACAUCAGACAGUCUAGCCUAAGAGGCUGGCUCUGGAAUAAAUAAGCUCU